ensembl:lncRNA
UGCACAUACAGGUAGAAUUAUAAGGCGUGCAUAUUUGUGGAACUGAACCCACAAAGUCAAAUCAUACAUGCAUAUGCCACACCCAAACAUUCGAAAUCUUAGCAAAACUGUGUUGCAAAACUGAACACACAAUACCUUAUUUGUUUGUUUGUUUGUUUGUUUAUUUAUUUGCCACAUUUCUCCUCAUAGGGGAUCAGUGAAAACAAUACAAUACUCAGUGUUACAACUGGUAGAUACCAUGGGAUGGAAUCACGGGAAAGCCUAUGUAACAAGAUGUAAACACAAGCUACCAUGUCUUGUAAAAUGAUAACUCCAAGUUUACUGUGGGUAACUGAAAGACCAGAACACAAUACAGAAAAGCAAACAUGAAUGCAUAUGGAUACACAGCAACCACUAACCACUCAAAUGCAUGUUCACAAGAACACUUGAGCGACAGCAUGAGUCACAUAGUUUGCUCAUUGUGUGCAUGCACAUACACCACACACUUCAGCCAGUGACAAUGCUUCACAUAAAACACAGUUCCCUCUUCCAGCGUGUGAUGUAGUAACCCAGUGGAGAAUCACACAUACACACAAACAUACAAUGCCUAACAACUCUGUGGCACUACACAGCCUCCCUCUUGCUUCCCCACACACACACACAUCGCAGACCCAUAUGCCUCUCUGCUCCUUUAACCAGCCUCUUUCGUUUGCUGCUGCUUCUUUUUUUUCUCCUUCGUCCAAUGGUUUCUCCCAAUGACAUAAUAACAGCAUGCUAGCAUCUCUCUCCUAUACAGCAAAAUACCCCUCGAUAUAAAACGCCAUUUCGCAGAAUCUUCUCCGGCUGGUGCCAUCAACAACCCACUGCCGGGUGGGGGGGACACAGAGAGGAGCCGUCUCUCACCUCCCUCAGUGUGUGACACCUUUGGAAAGCAGACCUUUUUUGUAGUAGUUGUUGUUGCAAGAAAUCAAAUAGUCAAACAGCUAGUUGGCUCCUUUUCGAGUUGAGUCAGAGAGAUCAAGCAAUCCCUAUCAGCCAAUGUGUGCCUCAAACUGAAGAGCAUCAGCCGAAAGCCAAGGUUUUCCAAAAGGAGAGGAACUUGAACAGAGGAAACGGAAUACGAGCAAGAAAGGGAAAAGAAACUAGGCAUUUCGGAAAACUUUCUGAAGUUGUGCAGAGGAAGGGGAAACAAAGACUUUCAAGAGCUCUACACUUUCCUCAGCAUCUGUAGGAAUACAGAAAAUAUAGGAGCUCCACAGAUUCCUUGGCAUCUAUACUGAAGAUUCAAAGAAGCAAUUUGGACCCACUGGAUUUUUCCACAAAUGUCCCGAUAGCUAUAUAUACUUAACCCAGUAGCUCUCCAAAAAGUUUUUUGCGGACUUCCAGAAAAUCUGCAGUAUCUCCAUAUUUCGAAGCAGCCUUCCAGAAUCCUACUACUAGGCAUCUAGAUGCUACAGUCAUAGCCUUCCAAAGGAUUUUCCACUAGCUCUUCAAGAUUUUCAUAUCAGUGGUCUAUAAGCUCUCAUUAGCUGUUCCUGACCUUCCACGGUCCGCUAGCUACCCAAACCCUGCAUCUUCCACAAAGCUCAUUUGGAGAGUUCUAGAUUAAAAAAACAACACAACAUAACCAUCAUAACGCCUUUCAAAAUUUUCCAGCUGUUCUUGAAAAAUUAACCAGGCAGUUCCUGGAGCUUCUCUGAAAACACCUUGAAGUUGAUCCAGACUUCUCCCUCCUAAGUAUCAGAAAAGGCUUCUGAGAGUACCUAACAUUCUAGGACUAACCCAGAAGAACCUCUAGAAACAUCUUUCACUGCAUUCCCAAGAUCUCUGGAACAACUGUUAGCAUCCUAACCUGUCCUGUAUCAAGGUGUUUCCUACAAUUCAAACUAAACACAAGAAGGUACUCCUUUGCUGCUAUUUCUCUAAAGCUUGUGUAUUCCAGAUCCUGCCUAUUAGAAGGGGGAGCUGGCCACAAAAGUAAAGGCAUCCUUUGUCACCACUGCUGCUACUACUUGCAUCUAUCACUGUUGGUCUCCUUUUUUACUGCCAAGCUGGAGUCACUCA